rnacentral:sRNA from 1 species
GCGGGCUACGCGUCCGCUCAGGUUUCGGAUGCCCUGUCCACACGCACCUGACGACUGCUCGCCACGCGUUGUCAGCU